rnacentral:RNase_P_RNA from 1 species
CCAGCCGGCCGGACGGCCGCUCCGGCACGUGUCGAAAGGCCGCCGGGGAGGAAAGUCCGGGCUCCACGGAGAAACGGUGCCGGGUAACGCCCGGCGGGGGCGACCCCAGGGAAAGUGCCACAGAAAACGAACCGCCGUGCGGCAUGCCGCGCGGCAAGGGUGAAAAGGUGGGGUAAGAGCCCACCGCGGGCCCGGCAACGGGAACGGCAUGGCAAACCCCACCGGGAGCAAGACCGAAUAGGGACGACGCGGGGCGAAAGCCCCACCCCUCUCCGGGGCGGUCGUCCGGGUGGGUCGCGCGAGGCGUCCGGCGACGGGCGUCCCAGAGGAAUGGUCGUCACGCGGCUUCGGCCGCCAUACAGAACCCGGCUUACAGGCCGGCUGGCAAC